AAGUCGUAACAAGGUAACCGUAGGUGAACCUGCGGUUGGAUCAUUACUAAAUUUAUUAAAGGUAAUUGUGUUUGAAAAAACCUUUUACUCUUUAAACAAAUUUGUGAACUUUUAAAAGUCUUUUGGGGUAAUUAUGUAUGUAGUUGCCCCAAAAUCAUAUCUUAAACAAUUAUUGUUUUAAAAAUCAAGUCUUGAAAUUAUUUUAAAUUAAAUUUUAAAAACAACUUUUGACAACGGAUCUCUUGGCUCUC
rnacentral:misc_RNA from 1 species